GAUGAACGCUGGCGGCGUGCCUAAUACACGCAAGUCGAGCGAACAGAUGAGGAGCUUGCUCCUCUGACGUUAGCGGCGGACGGGUGAGUAACACGUGGAUAACCUACCUAUAAGACUGGGAUAACUUCGGGAAACCGGAGCUAAUACCGGAUAAUAUAUUGAACCGCAUGGUUCAAUAGUGAAAGACGGUUUUGCUGUCACUUAUAGAUGGAUCCGCGCCGCAUUAGCUAGUUGGUAAGGUAACGGCUUACCAAGGCGACGAUGCGUAGCCGACCUGAGAGGGUGACCGGCCACACUGGAACUGAGACACGGCCCAGACUCCUACGGGAGGCAGCAGUAGGGAAUCUUCCGCAAUGGGCGAAAGCUUGCCGGAGCAACGCCGCGUGAGUGAUGAAGGUCUUCGGAUCGUAAAACUCUGUUAUUAGGGAAGAACAAAUGUGUAAGUAACUAUGCACGUCUUGACGGUACCUAAUCAGAAAGCCACGGCUAACUACGUG
rnacentral:rRNA from 1 species